GACGAACGCUGGCGGCGUGCUUAACACAUGCAAGUCGAACGGAAAGGCCCUGCUUUUGUGGGGUGCUCGAGUGGCGAACGGGUGAGUAACACGUGAGUAACCUGCCCUUGACUUUGGGAUAACUUCAGGAAACUGGGGCUAAUACCGGAUAGGAGCUCCUGCUGCAUGGUGGGGGUUGGAAAGUUUCGGCGGUUGGGGAUGGACUCGCGGCUUAUCAGCUUGUUGGUGGGGUAGUGGCUUACCAAGGCUUUGACGGGUAGCCCGCCUGAGAGGGUGACCGGCCACAUUGGGACUGAGAUACGGCCCAGACUCCUACGGGAGGCAGCAGUGGGGAAUAUUGCACAAUGGGCGGAAGCCUGAUGCAGCAACGCCGCGUGCGGGAUGACGGCCUUCGGGUUGUAAACCGCUUUAGCCUGUGACGAAGCGUGAGUGACGGUAAUGGGUAAAGAAGCACCGGCUAACUACGUG
rnacentral:rRNA from 1 species